rnacentral:lncRNA from 1 species
GCCUAUACUGCCCUCCUCGCUCACUUCCGGCAGCAGGGUGGAAACACUUGAACUUGCACAGCCAAGCACCACACACAGUUGUAUCCGUGUCAGUCCAGGACAAGGGAGAUGACAGCAGAGCUGAGUGUGCUCCACCCUGGGAAGGCGAAGUCGGCCGUAAACUGCCUUCCCUCUGGGAGGAAAAACAACAACUCGUGGGGGCAAGACGUUUCAAAGGCUGAGGGGCUCCAAGUUUGGUGUUCAGACGCCUCUGGAGUGUUUAAGGGAACAAAGUACGGCUGAAUCCACUCUGGUCUCAAUCACUAACAGCAGCAGAGGACUGCAGAGCUGAACAGGACAAAGCAGCUCUGGGGAGUGCUGGGGUCAGAAAGCCAACAAGAAGCUCCUCACUGUUGACCCUCCCACCAACGCCCACCCGCCCCUCUACGAUACCCCACCUAUGGGAGUGUGGAUGCAUUAACACAUUUUAAGAACAUGGUCAUAGAUCCUGCCUGCGUCUGAGCCUGCAAUCAGCAAGCCUGGUGGCUAGGUCUCUGCUCCCUCCUUACUUGCAGCCUCCCUGGGUCUCCCUGGGAGAUCAGGCACCUCCCUUAGCCAGCCCCCUCCCAGCUUCCUACUGCCACUCGGAACAGAACUUCCGCAGCUAUCAUGUGACCUUGAAGAUGGAAGUCACAUGCCAGAGAAGACAGAAGACAGAGACCCUGAUAACUUCAAAGAGCCAGCCAAAUAAUGCCUGUUUACUCCUGAUCCUGGUAAAAGUGAAGAGAGUAAAUCCUUGCAAAUAAACAACUAGAUUUUCUCCCUA